rnacentral:lncRNA from 1 species
GCAGGGGAGAAUUUGCAAAAGGAGUUAAGGAAAUGUUUAGCUUAUUAGAGUGGAGGCCAAAAUAGACAUUCAAGGAUUACUUUAGAAAAGCCACAGAAUGAGUGUGCUAAUUACUAACCCACAUGGGAAAACCACUGAAGUUCCCAAAGCUGUCAAGAGCAACUAAGUGGGAAGAGGUGAAGUAUUAAUGGGAGAUGGAGGUAGCUUCUUUCAGAAGAAGUGUAGAUCUUUGGUCCGGGAAAUGAUUGGGAGCCUCAAGGCAGUUAUUCCAGGUGUGUGAUUCUGACCUGUCU